rnacentral:rRNA from 1 species
GAUGAACGCUAGCGAUAGGCUUAACACAUGCGAGUCGAGGGGCAGCAUGGUCUUAGCUUGCUAAGACUGAUGGCGACCGGCGCACGGGUGCGUAACGCGUAUGCAACUUGCCUCACAGAGGGGGAUAACCCGUCGAAAGACGGACUAAUACCGCGUACACUUGGGAUGGGGCAUCCUGACCCAAGGAAAUGAAAUUCGCUGUGAGAUAGGCAUGCGUCCCAUUAGCUAGUUGGUGAGGUAACGGCUCACCAAGGCGACGAUGGGUAGGGGAACUGAGAGGUUGAACCCCCACACUGGUACUGAGACACGGACCAGACUCCUACGGGAGGCAGCAGUGAGGAAUAUUGGUCAAUGGGCGAGAGCCUGAACCAGCCAAGUCGCGUGAAGGAUGACUGUCUUAUGGAUUGUAAACUUCUUUUAUACGGGAAUAACAAGAGCCACGUGUGGCUCCCUGCAUGUACCGUAUGAAUAAGCAUCGGCUAACUCCGUG